UUCCAGGGGGCUAAAUACGCAA
rnacentral:misc_RNA from 1 species